GACGAACGCUGGCGGCGUGCUUAACACAUGCAAGUCGAACGAAGAGCGAUGGAAGCUUGCCUCUCUCAAUCUUAGUGGCGAACGGGUGAGUAACGCGUAAUCAACCUGCCCUUCAGAGGGGGACAACAGUUGGAAACGACUGCUAAUACCGCAUACGAUCUAAUCUCGGCAUCGAGGAAAGAUGAAAGGUGGCCUCUAUUUAUAAGCUAUCACUGAAGGAGGGGAUUGCGUCUGAUUAGCUAGUUGGAGGGGUAACGGCCCACCAAGGCGAUGAUCAGUAGCCGGUCUGAGAGGAUGAACGGCCACAUUGGGACUGAGACACGGCCCAGACUCCUACGGGAGGCAGCAGUGGGGAAUCUUCCGCAAUGGACGAAAGUCUGACGGAGCAACGCCGCGUGAGUGAUGACGGCCUUCGGGUUGUAAAGCUCUGUUAAUCGGGACGAAAGGCCUUCUUGCGAACAGUUAGAAGGAUUGACGGUACCGGAAUAGAAAGCCACGGCUAACUACGUG
rnacentral:rRNA from 1 species